rnacentral:snRNA from 1 species
AUGGGCCCUAAGAGAGAGCU